GCCAGGCGCGGUGGCACAUGCCUGUAAUCCCAGCAGUUCCGGAGGCUGAGGCAGGAGGAUCAUGAGUUCAAAGUCAGCCUCAGAAAAAGCAAGGCACUAAGCAACUCGGUGAGACCCUGUCUCUA
rnacentral:sRNA from 1 species